GUCGGAGUGGCGGAACUUGGUAGACGCGCUAGGUUGAGGGCCUAGUCCCCUUCACAGGGGGUGGGGGUUCAAAUCCCCCCUCCGACA
rnacentral:tRNA from 1 species